rnacentral:rRNA from 1 species
GACGAACGCUGGCGGCGUGCCUAAUACAUGCAAGUUGAGCGCUGAAGGUUGGUACUUGUACCAACUGGAUGAGCAGCGAACGGGUGAGUAACGCGUGGGGAAUCUGCCUUUGAGCGGGGGACAACAUUUGGAAACGAAUGCUAAUACCGCAUAAAAACUUUAAACACAAGUUUUAAGUUUGAAAGAUGCAAUUGCAUCACUCAAGGAUGAUCCCGCGUUGUAUUAGCUAGUUGGUGAGGUGAAGGCUCACCAAGGCGAUGAUACAUAGCCGACCUGGGAGGGUGAUAGGCCACAUUGGGACUGAGAAACGGCCCAAACUCCUACGGGAGGCAGCAGUAGGGAAUCUUCGGCAAUGGACGAAAGUCCGACCGAGCAACGCCGCGUGAGUGAAGAAGGUUUUCGGAUCGUAAAACUCUGUUGGUAGAGAAGAACGUUGGUGAGAGUGGAAAGCUCAUCAAGUGACGGUAACUACCCAGAAAGGGACGGCUAACUACGUGCCAGCAGCCGCGGUAA